rnacentral:rRNA from 1 species
GCGGGGAGCUUGCUCCCUGGCGGCGAGUGGCGGACGGGUGAGUAACGCGUAGGAAUCUGCCCAGUAGUGGGGGACAACCUCGGGAAACCGAGGCUAAUACCGCAUACGCCCUACGGGGGAAAGCGGGGGAUCUUCGGACCUCGCGCUAUUGGAUGAGCCUACGUCCGAUUAGCUUGUUGGUGGGGUAACGGCCCACCAAGGCGACGAUCGGUAGCUGGUCUGAGAGGACGAUCAGCCACACUGGGACUGAGACACGGCCCAGACUCCUACGGGAGGCAGCAGUGGGGAAUAUUGGACAAUGGGCGAAAGCCUGAUCCAGCAAUGCCGCGUGUGUGAAGAAGGCCUUCGGGUUGUAAAGCACUUUCAGUAGGGAAGAAAAGCCGGGCGAUAAUACCGCCCUGUGCUGACGUUACCUACAGAAGAAGCACCGGCUAACUCCGUGCCAGCAGCCGCGGUAAUACGGAGGGUGCGAGCGUUAAUCGGAAUUACUGGGCGUAAAGGGCGCGUAGGCGGUUUGGUUAGUCAGAUGUGAAAGCCCCGGGCUUAACCUGGGAAUUGCAUUUGAUACUGCCAGGCUCGAGUGUGGUAGAGGGAAGCGGAAUUCCGGGUGUAGCGGUGAAAUGCGUAGAUAUCCGGAGGAACACCAGUGGCGAAGGCGGCUUCCUGGACCAACACUGACG